rnacentral:rRNA from 1 species
ACGAACGCUGGCGGCGUGCUUAACACAUGCAAGUCGAGCGGUAAGGCCCUUUCGGGGGUACACGAGCGGCGAACGGGUGAGUAACACGUGGGUGACCUGCCCUCAGCUCUGGGAUAAGCCUGGGAAACCGGGUCUAAUACUGGAUAUGACUCCAUGACGCAUGUUGUGGGGCGGAAAGCCUUGUGCGGCUGAGGAUGGGCCCGCGGCCUAUCAGCUUGUUGGUGGGGUGANGGCCUACCAAGGCGACGACGGGUAGCCGGCCUGAGAGGGCGACCGGCCACACUGGGACUGAGACACGGGCCCAGACUCCUACGGGAGGCAGCAGUGGGGAAUCUUGCGCAAUGGGCGAAAGCCUGACGCAGCGACGCCGCGUGAGGA